rnacentral:misc_RNA from 1 species
AACCAAUGUAACUUUCCAGCAAUCGACUUGUAGCAUAAAUACUGAAAGCUUUUUGGGUACAACUUGGAAUUUGUUGUCUUCUGUGAUUAUUCCAAAUGUUUCUAUGGUCUCACGAAUCAUGAUACCACGUACACCAACUAAGCCUGCUAUUUUGCACUGAACAACUAGAAUAAGUGCACCAUGCAAGUCUGCAUUAAGAAGACAUUGUGAUAACUGAUUUUUCCCAAUAUUCUUUAGGAGUUUUGUCACGUAGUCUUUCCACCUAUCAUGCAUUGGCUUGAAGAUGUCAUAGUUAUGGUACUCUUGAGGCAAAUCAAAU